UCAAUAAAAAUAAUUAAAAGGUUUGAAUUUUGCAAUUUUUAUUUAGUUUUCGUAAAUGGGCCCAUCAAUAAUUAAUUGGGCCUAACGAGGUUUUUAAAAAUGGGCCUUAUUUCGAAUCAGAGAUCCAUUUUUGCGGUCGCUGUUAUAAUUAUUCAUCUUAUCCGAAGAUUGGAUUGUGGCAGAUUUGUAUGCCUUAAAUUUGUUUGAAUGCCUUUGGAAGAUGCGGCGAAUUGAUCGAACGAGGUGCGUUUUGGAGUUUUAAGUCUUUGUCGAAGAAUCAGGCAAGGAAGAUUCAAUGACUAAUAUUCCAAUUGCCAAAUCCUUAAACAUAAGCUAGGGCGUGGGUUUCUUAUUUGAUUGUGGUCUUAGAGAAUAUGUGAAGUGAGAAGAGAAGAGGAUCGAGGACAUCAAUGGAUGAAUUGAAGGUUUUAGGAUUAGGAGAUAGAGAGAGAGUAGUGUAAUUGUGUGAGUGAAUGAGAGAGAUCUGGAUUCGAUGCAAAAGCUGGAAAUGUGCAUGUCUCUGGUGCAGCUGGUUAUGGAUUUUGUUGUGGCGUUUAUUGAGGCGGUUGCGACUGUGAUAAAUAGCCGUCACCACUCUCACUCUCACUCUGCAAUCUUCUCCUCUCCUUCUUCUUCAUCAUCUUCUGCUGUUCCUUUUGUUGGAUUUUUCCCUUAGAUAAGGACAUUACUUACACUUGUUUCCAGCACAUACAUGAGAGCUAUGCCUUAAUUUUGAUCCAUGUUUAUGCAUAGAUUUCAGCUUCAAUUCACUCUUAUUAUAUAUAUAUAUAUAUAUAUAUGAUAAUUUGCGAUUCUUUUUCGGUUGUUAUAUGAGAUAGUUUCUGGUGAUUUUUAUUUUUUAAAUAAAUAUUAUGCAUAAAUUGUAGCUCAAUGAUAUCAUUGUAAUUUGUAGUCUUCUUUGUUUUUCUCACUGCAUGCACUGCAAUUUAAUUUGUCUUGUUUAAAAUUUGUAUUGUAUUGUAAUGUAUGUAUGAUAUUGUUUUGUUUUCGCA